rnacentral:rRNA from 1 species
CCUACGGGAGGCAGCAGUGGGGAAUAUUGGACAAUGGGCGAAAGCCUGAUCCAGCAAUGCCGCGUGAGUGAUGAAGGCCUUAGGGUUGUAAAGCUCUUUUACCAGGGAUGAUAAUGACAGUACCUGGAGAAUAAGCUCCGGCUAACUCCGUGCCAGCAGCCGCGGUAAUACGGAGGGAGCUAGCGUUGUUCGGAAUUACUGGGCGUAAAGCGUACGUAGGCGGUUAUUCAAGUCAGAGGUGAAAGCCUGGAGCUCAACUCCAGAACUGCCUUUGAAACUAGAUAGCUAGAAUCUUGGAGAGGUGAGUGGAAUUCCGAGUGUAGAGGUGAAAUUCGUAGAUAUUCGGAAGAACACCAGUGGCGAAGGCGACUCACUGGACAAGUAUUGACGCUGAGGUACGAAAGCGUGGGGAGCAAACAGGAUUAGAUACCCUGGUAGUCCACGCCGUAAACGAUGAUAACUAGCUGUUCGGGCUCUACGAGCUUGAGUGGCGCAGCUAACGCAUUAAGUUAUCCGCCUGGGGAGUACGGUCGCAAGAUUAAAACUCAAAAUGAAUUGACGG